GAAAUAGUAUCACCAUAAAUCACAAAUAGGAGAGAAUAAAAGCGUCAAUUACUUUUUCAUGACGGUGGCCAUGGAAAUCGGAAACCGCUAAGGGGUGUGUAACAACUCACCUACCGAAUCAACCAGCCCAGAAAAUGGAUGGCGCUCGAGCGUUUGACCUAUAC
rnacentral:ncRNA from 1 species